GUGCCAGCAGCCGCGGUAAUUCAUAGGGUGCGAGCGUUAAUCGGAAUUACUGGGUGUAAAGCGGGCGCAGACGGUUACUUAAGCAGGAUGUGAAAUCCCCGGGCUCAACCUGGGAAUUGCGUUCUGAACUGGGUGGCUAGAGUGUGUCAGAGGGGGGUAGAAUUCCACGUGUAGCAGUGAAAUGCGUAGAGAUGUGGAGGAAUACCGAUGGCGAAGGCAGCCCCCUGGGAUGGCACUGACGUUCAUGCCCGAAAGCGUGGGUAGCAAACAGGAUUAGAUACCCUGGUAGUCCACGCCCUAAACGAUGUCGAUUAGCUGUUGGGCAACUUGAUUGCUCGGUAGCGAAGCUAACGCGUGAAAUCGACCGCCUGGGGAGUACGGUCGCAAGAUUAAAACUCAAAGGAAUUGACGGGGACCCGCACAAGCGGUGGAUGAUGUGGAUUAAUUCGAUGCAACGCGAAGAACCUUACCUGGUCUUGACAUGUACGGAACCUUCCGGAGACGGAAGGGUGCAUUCGGGAGCCGUAACACAGGUGCUGCAUGGCUGUCGUCGCUCGUGU
rnacentral:rRNA from 1 species